UACGUAGGGGGCAAGCGUUAUCCGGAUUUACUGGGUGUAAAGGGGGCGCAGACGGCAGCGCAAGCCAGGAGUGAAAGCCCGGGGCCCAACCCCGGGACUGCUCUUGGAACUGCGCGGCUGGAGUGCAGGAGGGGCAGGCGGAAUUCCUGGUGUAGCGGUGAAAUGUGUAGAUAUCAGGAGGAACACCGGUGGCGAAGGCGGCCUGCUGGACUGCGACUGACGUUGAGGCCCGAAAGCGUGGGGAGCAAACAGG
rnacentral:rRNA from 1 species